rnacentral:tRNA from 1 species
GCUGAUGUGGUGGAAUGGCAGACACCGGGGACUUAAAAUCCCUUGCUUCGGCGUACGGGUUCGAGUCCCGUCAUCAGCACCA